rnacentral:rRNA from 1 species
AAAUAAUCCAGUACUUUACACAAUGGCCGGUGCUCUGUGAUACGUCUUCUACGAGUCGAGUUGUUUGGGAAUGCAGCUCAAAAUGGGUGGUGAGUUCCAUCUAAAGCUAAAUAUUGGCGAGAGACCGAUAGCGAACAAGUACCGUGAGGGAAAGAUGAAAAGCACUUUGGAAAGAGAGUUAAACAGUACGUGAAAUUGUUAAAAGGGAAACGAUUGAAGUCAGUCGUGACUGAGAGGCUCAGCCGGUUCUGCCGGUGUAUUCCCCUCAGUCGGGUCAACAUCAGUUUUGUUCGGUGGAUAAGGGCAGUUGGAAGGUGGCACCCUCGGGUGUGUUAUAGCCAGCUGUCGCAUACAUCGGAUGAGACUGAGGAAUGCAGCUCGCCUUUAUGGUCCAGCGCGCGUUCCGCGAGCACGUGCGAGUCUA